UGCUGGUCCGCCUGCCUUUCCUCCUUCCCCCAAAGGACUCCGCUACCCUGAAGGUCACACAACCUUGUAUGGGGCUUAACUCAGUAUCAUGAGAAUGUUCGCAUAACGACCAGCAAACAUUUUCCUCCCAAGGGAAAGGGUGAAAUCGGAGAGCUGGAUGGGAAAGGUUUGCCUUGUGUUGUCAUCAGUUACAUAACCAUAAAAGGAAGUCAAGGGAGAAAUAACCUUCACGGAAGUUCAUUACAAAGAGAAGCUGUCACCAGUACUCCACUCCCCAACUGGACCCGUCCUUCAUAGCUCUGCAGCUGAAAUUCCAGCUGAUACCGGAACCAAGGAGCAAAGGGAGACAGACCUAUUCUUGAAUGUUGCUCCUCACAGACAGAAAAGAAGGAACAAAAAAUAAAAGAGUUUCUUUCCAAUAAAUAAGGACAUUGCCCUCAUUGCACCU